rnacentral:rRNA from 1 species
GGCUCAGAUUGAACGCUGGCGGCAUGCUUUACACAUGCAAGUCGAACGGCAGCACGGGUGCUUGCACCUGGUGGCGAGUGGCGAACGGGUGAGUAAUACAUCGGAACGUACCUUAUCGUGGGGGAUAACGCAGCGAAAGCUGUGCUAAUACCGCAUACGCCCUGAGGGGGAAAGCGGGGGAUCGAAAGACCUCGCGCGAUUAGAGCGGCCGAUGCCUGAUUAGCUUGUUGGUGGGGUAAAAGCCCACCAAGGCGACGAUCAGUAGCUGGUCUGAGAGGACGAUCAGCCACACUGGGACUGAGACACGGCCCAGACUCCUACGGGAGGCAGCAGUGGGGAAUUUUGGACAAUGGACGCAAGUCUGAUCCAGCCAUGCCGCGUGCGGGAAGAAGGCCUUCGGGUUGUAAACCGCUUUUGUCAGGGAAGAAAUCUUCUGAGUUAAUACCUCGGGAGGAUGACGGUACCUGAAGAAUAAGCACCGGCUAACUACGUG